AUGAUAUAUUCAACUAAAAAUCUGUUCCAAAGAAAAAAAAGUUAUGUACUAAUUUACAUAUGUCAGGAUAAUGAAGUUCUGUUUGCAAAGCACUUUCUUCCAUAUGUUUCUUUAUUUGCUUACUGUACUUUCCAACUUUUUGUUUGGAAAAUAGUAUACUUUGAGUUUGUUUUACUGCCUGGAGAAAGAAUGAGAGCCCUUUCUCACAGGGGCGUUCACGUGGACGACCGAACUGAGUCUUCUUCUUUUUUAUAUCUCCAAAUUCAAAUAUGGUUUGAUUUGAUAGAAUAUCAGUCUAACAUGUUGAGAUUGUGA
rnacentral:rRNA from 1 species